rnacentral:lncRNA from 1 species
GGGAGUUCCUGUUAGAGUUGCGAGCUGGGAUAAAGCAACAAAUGUGGUUAGGAGAGGAAGGUCUUUGGAUCCAUACUAGAUGUGGGCAGAAGGGGAAGAAAGGGUGAAAUAUAUGUUCUAUUGCAAAACUAGGGAUAAGACUGGGGAAUUUACUUUGGAGGACAGUGGGUUGUGUUGAAGGUCUUCAGUUAGCUUACAUAUUUUCUUGACCUGCCCAGCUUGUGUGUUUUCAGGGAAUACCUGCUGAUGUUGGUGACUACAAUACUGGGAUGAAUUAUGAGAAGCAAAGUUGAAGGAUAAGGUUUUUGUGAUCUGCUGGGCUUGGGGUUGCCUUCCGGUGACUCUAUUCCCUGUGCCAAAAUAGGAUGAUUAUGGGUGAUGCAUUCUGGUUCUGCACGGCUGGUAGAAGAAUAGUUUCCAGGAUUCUCUCCUGUAAUUAAUGAUUGUGUCCCAAGACAACAUUUAGAAAUUACUUUGGAUUAUGAUAGACAGAAGAAACCAUUUAAG